GAUGAACGCUGGCGGCAGGCUUAAUACAUGCAAGUCGUGGGGCAGCGCAGUGUAGCAAUACAUGGGCGGCGACCGGCAAACGGGUGCGUAACACGUACGCAACCUUCCCGUUACUGGGGAAUAGCCCAGGGAAACUUGGAUUAAUACCCCAUAGUAUAUUGAUUGGGCAUAUAAUUAAUAUCAAAGCUUCGGCGGUAACGGAUGGGCGUGCGGUUGAUUAGGUAGUUGGCGGGGUAACGGCCCACCAAGCCUACGAUCAAUAGCUGAUGUGAGAGAAUGAUCAGCCACACGGGCACUGAGACACGGGCCCGACUCCUACGGGAGGCAGCAGUAAGGAAUAUUGGGCAAUGGACGAAAGUCUGACCCAGCCAUGCCGCGUGGAGGAUGAAGGUCCUCUGGAUUGUAAACUUCUUUUUUCUGGGGCGAAAACCGGUUUUUCUAAACCAUUUGACAGUACCAGAAGAAUAAGCACCGGCUAACUCCGUGCCAGCCGCCGCGGUAAAAC
rnacentral:rRNA from 1 species